AACGAACGCUGGCGGCAUGCCUAACACAUGCAAGUCGAACGAGACCUUCGGGCCUAGUGGCGCACGGGUGCGUAACGCGUGGGAACCUGCCCUUAGGUUCGGCAUAACUCCCCGAAAGGGGUGCUAAUACCGGAUAAUGUCUUCGGACCAAAGAUUUAUCGCCUUUGGAUGGGCCCGCGUUGGAUUAGCUAGUUGGUAGGGUAAAAGCCUACCAAGGCGACGAUCCAUAGCUGGUCUGAGAGGAUGAGCAGCCACACUGGGACUGAGACACGGCCCAGACUCCUACGGGAGGCAGCAGUGGGGAAUAUUGGAAAAUGGGCGAAAGCCUGAUCCAGCAAUGCCGCGUGAGUGAUGAAGGCCUUAGGGUUGUAAAGCUCUUUUACCCGGGAUGAUAAUGACAGUACCGGGAGAAUAAGCUCCGGCUAACUCCGUG
rnacentral:rRNA from 1 species